rnacentral:rRNA from 1 species
GACGAACGCUGGCGGCGUGCCUAAUACAUGCAAGUCGAACGCUUCUUUCCUCCCGAGUGCUUGCACUCAAUUGGAAAGAGGAGUGGCGGACGGGUGAGUAACACGUGGGUAACCUACCCAUCAGAGGGGGAUAACACUUGGAAACAGGUGCUAAUACCGCAUAACAGUUUAUGCCGCAUGGCAUAAGAGUGAAAGGUGCUUUCGGGUGUCGCUGAUGGAUGGACCCGCGGUGCAUUAGCUAGUUGGUGAGGUAACGGCUCACCAAGGCCACGAUGCAUAGCCGACCUGAGAGGGUGAUCGGCCACACUGGGACUGAGACACGGCCCAGACUCCUACGGGAGGCAGCAGUAGGGAAUCUUCGGCAAUGGACGAAAGUCUGACCGAGCAACGCCGCGUGAGUGAAGAAGGUUUUCGGAUCGUAAAACUCUGUUGUUGGAGAAGAACAAGGACGUUAGUAACUGAACGUCCCCUGACGGUAUCUAACCAGAAAGCCGCGGCUAACUACGUGCCAGCAGCCGCGGUAAUACGUAGGUGGCAAGCGUUGUCCGGAUUUAUUGGGCGUAAAGCGAGCGCAGGCGGUUUCUUAAGUCUGAUGUGAAAGCCCCCGGCUCAACCGGGGAGGGUCAUUGGAAACUGGGAGACUUGAGUGCAGAAGAGGAGAGUGGAAUUCCAUGUGUAGCGGUGAAAUGCGUAGAUAUAUGGAGGAACACCAGUGGCGAAGGCGGCUCUCUGGUCUGUAACUGACGCUGAGGCUCGAAAGCGUGGGGAGCAAACAGG